UACAAGUUUUGAGAAAAGUUUUACGAUGUUUUUACCUAAAUCUUUAUUAAAUACACGAACAACUCGCCGAGAAUUACUGUAUGUACUAAAAAAACCUAAAAAAAUACUUGAACUAAUAAUGCAACAAUGUCGGAAUUUCCAUGAAGUCACAGGAAACGUAAUCGUCCCGAAUAUGGUGAGGGGAAUUGACCACUUGAAAGAUCCUCGGUUGAAUAAGGGUCUCGCGUUCACGUUAGAAGAGCGCCAGGCUUUAGGUCUUCAAGGCUUAUUGGCAACGAAUUUCAAAACCCAAGAACAGCAGAUUGAUAUAGCGAGAAUAUCUGUGGAUAGAUAUAAAAGUGACUUGAAUAAAUAUUUGUAUCUUGUGGAAUUGCAGGAUACAAAUGAAAGGCUAUUCUUUAGUUUACUGGAUCAGAACAUCGAGAAAUAUUUACCUAUUGUAUAUACCCCAACGGUAGGUUUAGCGUGUCAGAGGUUUGGACUUAUCUAUAGAAGAGCAAGAGGUUUAUUUAUCAGUAUUAACGACAAGGGAUAUGUGUAUAAUAUAAUUAGAAAUUGGCCAGAACACGAUGUACGGGCGAUAGUGUUUACAGACGGCGAGCGUAUCUUGGGCCUGGGUGACCUGGGCGCUUACGGUAUGGGCAUACCGGUCGGCAAGCUGUCACUGUACACCGCUCUCGCCGGGAUAAAACCGCAUCAGUGUUUACCGAUUUUGUUAGACGUUGGCACAGACAAUGAGACUCUGUUAGAAGACCCUCUGUACAUUGGUCUACGGCAUAAAAGAGUUCGAGGCGAAAAGUACGACGAGUUUGUAGAUGAAUUUAUGAAAGCAUGUAUCACAAGAUUUGGACCGAAUACGCUUCUACAAUUUGAAGAUUUUGCUCUUCCGAACGCUGGACGAUUUUUAAAGAAAUAUCAAGAAAAAUAUUGUACGUUUAAUGAUGAUAUCCAAGGCACAGCCAGUGUGGUAGUCGCUGGAUUGAUGGCAGCUACAAGAAUUACCAAGAAAAAAUUAUCAGAGAAUAUAUAUUUAUAUCUCGGCGCUGGAUCUGCGGCGAAUGGAAUUGCUAAUUUAACAGUGCUAGCAAUGAUGGACGAAGGGUUAUCAGAGAAAGAUGCUCGAGACCGGAUAUUCAUGUUUGAUGUAGAUGGACUCUUGUCUACGCGUCGUUCUCAAGGUGUUCCGAAGCAUGCCGAGAACUUUGGCAAGGAUAUGGAACCGGAGACGGACUUUGAAAGAUGUGUGGAGAUUGUGAAGCCAACAUGUUUAAUAGGUUGUUCCACAAUAGGUGGCGCUUUCACGCCCUCCAUAUUGAAGUUGAUGGGUAAACACAAUCAAAGACCGAUCAUCUUUGCGCUUUCGAACCCGACGAACAAAGCAGAGUGUACCGCACAAGCUGCUUAUGACAAUACAGAGGGACGCUGUGUUUUUUCAUCCGGAUCUCCAUUUCCACCGGUGUCUUACGACGGAAAGGAGUAUCAUACAGGACAAGGAAAUAACUCUUAUAUCUUUCCUGGAGUAGCGCUUGGAGUUAUUGCAACAUCAGCGCAUCAUAUACCCGAUUAUAUUUUUUUGACGGCUGCAAAGACAUUGGCGGAAUUUGUUCAUGAGAGUGACUUGAAAAUUGGCCGCCUAUAUCCUCCUUUAAAACAAAUAAAGGAAGUGUCGUUAUCUAUAGCUUCAGAAGUUGCUGAAAUGGCCUAUAAAAAAGAUUUAGCGACUGUGUACCCUAAACCAAAAGACAUGCAAUUGUAUUUAAAAUCGCAUCUAUACCAAUUGAAGUAUCCAGAUUAUCUGCCAAAGUUUUACAAAUAUCCAGAUAUGCCUAAUAUAAAAGUAAAAUCAUUCGAUGAAGCCUACAGCGGAAUUAUGACGAGUACGGACAUACACCGUCCCUUGGGGAAACACAAGUGAUGGAUGACUUUGUAAUAUAAGAUAAAUUAGAAAUAUUGUGACUGGGCAUGGAUAAAAACCGUCACAAACUUGCAUAUAUUAUAACUCCUGUG
rnacentral:misc_RNA from 1 species